GCUAGCGUAGCUUAACUAAAGCAUAACACUGAAGAUGUUAAAAUGGGCCCUAGGAAGCUCCGCAAGCA
rnacentral:tRNA from 1 species